AACGAACGCUGGCGGCAUGCCUAACACAUGCAAGUCGAACGAGACCUUCGGGUCUAGUGGCGCACGGGUGCGUAACGCGUGGGAACCUGCCCUUAGGUUCGGAAUAACUCCCCGAAAGGGGUGCUAAUACCGGAUAAUGUCUUCGGACCAAAGAUUUAUCGCCUUUGGAUGGGCCCGCGUUGGAUUAGCUAGUUGGUAGGGUAAAAGCCUACCAAGGCGACGAUCCAUAGCUGGUCUGAGAGGAUGAUCAGCCACACUGGGACUGAGACAAGGCCCAGGAUCAUACGGGAGGCAGCAGUGGGGAAUAGUGGAAAAGGGGGGAAAGCCUUAUGCAGCUACGCCUUGUGGAGCAAGAAGGUCUGCGGAUUGUAAACUCCUGUUGUUGAGGAAGAUCAUGAGGCUACUCAAUAAGGAAGGGACGGCUAACUACGUG
rnacentral:rRNA from 1 species